AAAUCCAGAGGAUAAAAAUCUCGCGCAUCGCAGCGCCAGUAAUGAGCCGGCCCAGCAGCGCGCUCGUCAGAGGCGAGACUGAGCUGCGUCUCGCCACGGGCGAGACAUAGCUCUUGCGAAGGGAAGCGAAGCGCAUCGCCCCUCUCCUACCACCUCCACCGCUCAGAGCCCAGAACCCUCCUGCUCCUCCUCCGGCGGCGACAGCGGUCAGCGGCGGACGGCGGAGGUGAGCACGUGAAACUCGUCACGGCGCACAAGCCCGCCAGCGUAAGCCACUCCUGCGCCGGCAACUCAACCUCGCCGUGGCGUACGCACCCGCACAACCAACCCCCCUCUCCCCUCCCUCCCCCGGAAUCCCCAGUCUAGCAGGGUUCAGCUCCCGCCCGGCUCCGCUUAUUAAUUCCUGCUACCCAGUUCGCCUCGACCCUUCUGCGUCCGAACUCCCGGGGCCCUAGGGUUUUGCUCCCAGCUAGACGCGAGCGCCCGAUUCAUUCCUCUCCGUCCAGUUGUUUCUUCUGAUUAGCUUUCUGGGAGGAUUCCUAGGUUAUGAGUGCAGGUGUGCAAUAUUUCUCUGGGUAAUCAGCAUCCUUCUGAAAGUCCUAGUGCACAGUAUUUCUGAAAGUCCUUUUGCAGUCUGAUUCCACCUUCCAGUUCGGUCCGGUUCCUAUAUCAUAUACACACAAUUGUGGUUUCUGCAAAAAUCGAUGGACAAAGCUUCUGUUCCCGAUGAUCCACCAGAUUGGAGCACCGAUUGUGAUUGGUCCCAGCUUCAGGCCGACAUGCUCCUCCGGAUCGUUGGCACUCUUGAGAUCCCAGAUCUCUUCAGCUCAGGUGCGGUCUGUCGAUCCUGGCACCUCAUUUAUCUAGAGGCCCGUCGUUUCCGCCUGUGCUCGCCGAAACAGAGCCCCUGCCUUGUUUACUCAUCUGGCGACCGUGAUGCUGACACGGUCACUCUGCAUAACAUGUCCACCAACAAGCUUUACCACGUCACUCUAUCGGAGCCUGCCUUCCGCACACGCCAUGUCAUGGGCUCCUCCCACGGUUGGCUCAUCACCGCGGAUGAGCGGUCAAAUCUCAUACUAGUGAACCCUGCAACCGGAGCUCAGAUAGCUAUGCCUCCACCUGAAACCAUGAACAAUGUUAGACUGCGCUACACUGAAGAGGGUGUGCUAGAUGGAUAUGAUGUUCUUUACAUGGAUAUCUUAUCUUCGGAUUUUGACACAGAAACGGAGCCAUACCAUCUUACACUUGAAGAAGCCCGCUUCUUCUUUUAUGAGAGGGUUGUUCUUUCUUGCGACCCCUCCCAAGGAAACUGCAUGGUGCUCUGAAUACAAUUGCCCAAUAGUCAACUCUCUUAUACUAGGGUUGGGGACACCAAAUGGACUUGGAUUGGUGGAAAAGGAAACUGCUGGGAAUAUCAAGACAUUCUUUAUAACAACAAUGAUGGUUUGUUUUAUGGUGUUCGUGGUGAGGGUCAGGUAGAUUCUAUUAACCUUAAUGGAACUUCUGCUGAAGUAAAAGUCAUUUUAAAGUCAAUCAUAUCUUACCAAGCACAUAGUAGAUAUAUUGUUCAAGCACCAUGGGGAGAUUUUUUCCAGAUAUGGAGACAUGAUAAAUAUAAGAAGGAGAAUGGGAGAACAGAAUGGGUUGCCGACAAAUUUUUUGUGUACAAGAUUGAUUUUGUUGGACAAAAGAUAAUCAAAACAAAUAACCUCCAAGAUCAUGCAAUGUUCAUUGGUUUCAACAACUCGUUCCUUCUCCCAGUGAAAGACUUUCCUGCAUUGGUUCCCAAUAGCAUCUACCACACGGAUGACUUGCUUGAUUAUAUUUAUAUCUACUGUCACAGAUUUAGUCUUAGGCAGGUUGUUAUUUUUAAUAUGGAAGAUGGUAGUUUCAUCGAGUUAUCGCCCCCUAGUUCAAAGUCAAGAUUGAACUGGCCACCCCCAGUUUGGAUUCAACCAUCACUUGCUUGAGGCACCAGUGUUUACACCUGAAGGUUUCCCUCCUUCAAGAUUUUUUUGUUAGAGAGUUGUGGGGAAAAUUGGAAAGCAAACUUAUCUUGAGAAGGUGCAUCCCUCCGUCAUCACAAACUUAUACAGUUCACAUAACAAGAUUACUGCCUCUGCUGCGUCCAUUGUUUUAGUUGGUUCAAGUGAGGAACUUGGGAUAUCAGUAACUGUUCAACAAGUCUACCCUGAUACCAUCCAUACUGAUGAAUAUCUCUACUUUGAUAGUUUGACCACUAUACUCAUGGAACAACAAGUUCACUGUUUCGGCAAAGGUUUAUUGCUGAUGGAAUUGAAAGUUUGGUCAGGAUAGGUAUGUCAUUGGUGAAAAAUAGAUAAGAUUCGGGGUUCCGUUGGAAAUACACUAUCAAUCUUCACGACGAUUCCAAAUGUGCCAGAGGGCUAGGAUUUAUUUAAGAAUAUGGUCACUGUAUGAUGGGAUCCAAAUGCGCCGGACGGCUAGGAUGUAUUUAAGAAUACGGUUACUUUGUACCAUGGGCGUGAUUAUACUGUUAUUACUCGCCGUUUUGUGCUCGUAGGACCAUGUUGACCAGGCUCUGAGCUCCAUGUAAGCGGGGCGGGGGCGGGGUGGGGUCGGUCACUGUCCUUUAAUGAAAUGGCACACUUGUGGAGGUCUUUUUUUGUGCAAAAAGUGGGGCAGCAGCCGACGUGCCUCAGUUCCCCUUCUUCCACCACCAAUCCCUAGCUCAUGUCUGCCUAGUUGUGGCCCGCCUGCGUCCUCGCCCACCGCCUUGUUUGUACUAGCUAGCACCCAUCGCCGCUUCCAUGUCGACUAGUAGCUCAGUCUGAUCAGGUCAUCUUUGCCAUCAGGCAGUUAUGGUGCAGCUCAUUGGAUGCCCUGACCAUGGCAAUCCGGUGAAGUUCUAUGUCUCCACCACCAAGGAGCAUGACGACUGGGUCUUCUACAAGUGUGUCACUCAUGGUGCAAGUCCCAUGGCGACGUGCUUUUGUUAAUUAUGAAGGAACUUGGUUCAUGUCCAGCAGGAUAGUUGAGAAUUUGUUGAUCUGUUUGGUUGAUAGCAACCAUGUGAAUUUGUGGAUCAUCAUAUCCUCGUUGGGAAUGAUCUGGUCGAUGCACUUGGCGCAACAGAGAACAAGAGGGGAGCUUCUUCGAGCAAGGGAUAAACAGCAAGGAUUGCAGGGACCAAGAGAGUAAUUGGAGCUGCAAGGGACGUGAGGGGAAGACUUGCAGGUACCAUGACCAUGACCAAGCCUCAGGUGCAUUGCUGGGUUUAGGUAGAGGAAUGCUGCUGGUGAUGAAGCGGAUGGUGUUGUGUCUUAUGUGCUAUCUUUUUUUCUUCUCGAAUACGCUAAGAUAGCGUAUCAUUGCAUUGAUAGGAGGGAAAAACAAGUACAGAGUUCGGGGUUGGGUCGUGAUCUCGUACACACGAAUGGCGAGACAAGGACCCAAGGAGAGCAGAAGACAAAGGGGAUGCUCAGCCCCAAAACAGAAAAAUCAGGUUACAAGAUUACGCGUGUUCAUCCCUCUGGCUCCGGCCGUGGCCCAAGAGCGAGCUUCAUCUUUGAUCUUGCUGAAUAAUGAUAUUCUGAUUGGUAGCUUCUCUAGGUUGCAAGUGAUGAACCUGAUGUAUGAACCAUGUCGUUUCAUGGCUAUCUUCAUGCAUGUAUUUUGCCAAGACUUUGUCUAUCUGGUUAAUGCUGGAAGCUUAUUAUCUCAAGUUUGGUGUAUGAAAUGCAUGCUUCAUUGUUGAAUGACUAUCAUUCAAGUGUGAUUGUACUAUUUGGCAAGUGGUGUGUUUCUAAAUUUGGCAAAAGUUUGAUGUUGUGAUGUUGAAUGGUUUACUUGGGUUUCUGCUGUGAUGUUGAAUGGCUUACCUAUGUUGAUGAUGA